AUUGUUUAACACAUCGAGUUUUGCGAAAAAGCUACCUGUUGUCUCGGAAUUUGCAAAAUAGUUUUAGCUGUCAAAAUGCUUAUCCGCCCUUUUCUCGUGUUGCUCCAGAUAUUAUACCACCUUGAGUUUGACAAUCUGGUUCGUGCAACCUAAUGACAUAUGGAUCUGGGAGCUAAGCAUCAGAGUGGGGAGUUGUUGUGAAGUGCGCAAGCGGACAGGACGUGCGGCCGGGAGUUACCGAGGAGUGCGGAGUGGUUCCCGGAUAGACCCUUCGAUGAGUCACCACAAAUUGGCGACGAGGAUGGGAUCGCGCUGCUUCGGUAAGACCAUUCUGAUUUUGGUUGGCCUUGAAAAGUCGCACGAUAGCGGAGCUCCACUUGGGUUGAACAAAUCUGAGUUAACCAAAAAGGCAACGCAAGAAAACAAAAGGUGUAUUUGUGCUGGUUACUGUUAGCUGUUUGUUUACCACAAAUGCGUGCACGCUGACUGGGAAGCCCUCAACUGUUGGGUAACGAGGUUGCAUUGCGUG